UGAUGGAGGCGCACCCGAAAUCAGUAACCUGCAUUUAAAGGUUGCCAAAACCGCAGGCGAAAGGUGACGGUGCCGAAGCAAAUGUUGUGGCAUACAUUUGGCUGGCAUUGCGGAAAAUAUCCGUAAUGCUGUCGCAUAAUUUAUGCGGAGUGCUAUCA
rnacentral:ncRNA from 1 species